GUGUUGGUGGUUGAUGGUGGUGGGGAAACGCCCGGUCCCUUUUCGAACCCGGUAGCUAAGCCCAUUUCAUGCUGAUGGUACUGCACUCGUUGGGGUGUGGGAGAGUAGGUUGCCGCCAACAC
rnacentral:rRNA from 1 species